CCUUAGUGUCUCAGUGUCUGUGUCAUAAUGUCUCCCAGUGCCCCUUAGUGUCUCAGUGUCUGCCAUAAUGUCUCCCAAUGUCCCCAUGUCUCUCAGUGUCUGCCAUAAUGUCUCCCAGUGUCCCUUAGUGUCUCAGUGUCUGCCAUAAUGUCUCCCAAUGUCCCUUAGUGUCUCAGUGUCUGCCAUAAUGUCUCCAAGUGUCCCUUAGUGUCUCAGUGUCUGCCAUAAUGUCUC